rnacentral:lncRNA from 1 species
UACACGAAGUAGGGAGAGUUGAGACCCUUUGGUAGGAUUAGAUGAGGGAACUGGGCUCCUUUCAGAAAGAGAAAGGAAAUAGCCCCUGCAUCUCUGUGCUGACAGUCCCUGGUUUUGACUCUUGCCUGUGCGCAGGCCACAUUGCUCCUCCUAGAGCAGGUCCCCAUGCCUGCCCAAAUUCACCUGCUGUUCCGUAAGACCAGGCUCCUAGCAACAAGCCCAUCUAAUCCAUUCAGUGUCGACCCUCAGCUUUAUCAACCUUACCAUAGCUCUACCUGCCCUAUGACCUCGGUUGGAAAUUCAGCGUUUGUGCUGACUGUCAUUCUGUAUCUCUUCGUUGUGAAGUCAAAGGAACAAGUGAUGGAAGUACAGUUAGUUAGAAGAAGGCGUUAUCAGAGGUCAUCCAGCCACCUUCACACACAGGUGAGUGAUCGAGUGAAGAGAACGGGGAAGUGUUCUGCUCCAAGUUACAGUGCUGAUAUGGGUACAGCAUUUAGUUCAGAAGAUGUGAGAGAGAAGGCAGAUCUGGAUUUGCUUAAUCUAGGUUCUCCAGGGUAGAAACAAUGGAGAAUGCAGCAAGGAGAACUGUAUGUGUAUUUUACUGUGGUUACAUAAUAGAUUAUUACUUGAUAUCUCAGCUACUUCCUUGUUCCUGAGACAAAGUACCCAACAUCUACAAUUUAAAAAUCUAUUUUAGUUCGCAGUUUGUUGAGGUUUUAGUCAAUUGGCUCCAAGCCAGGUAUCAGGGCAGAGGGGCGUCACAGAGGAGAAACGGUCCUGGAUAGGGCAGGCAGGAAGCAGGAAGCCAUCGUGGAAAUAUCAAAGAUAUAUAAAGGGAGAUACAUAAAUCUAAAAACAAAAACAAGAAAGAAAGAAAGGGAACAGAAAGGAAAAUAAAAGAAAGGAAAGGAAGAGAAGGAAUGAAAAGAAAAGUGUGUUAAAGUUGUAGCUCAUUG